AGUCGGCGGCGCAGGGGCCGGGCCAGCCGCCGCCACUCCCCCGGCCCCCGGGCCCGGGCCUCCCGCCGCCGCCGCGACCACCGUCCCUGACGCGGCCCCGGAGCCUGGCCCCGCAUCUCCGCGGCCGCCGCCUCCUCCCACCACUGGGGGACCGGCGCCGCCGCCGCCAAGUGCUGCAAUGGCUGCCGGGCCUGGCCCCACCACUCCUCUCAGCUCCGUCGCCGCCAUGAGCCGCCGCCGCCUGGAGAUACAAGACCGGAACCGCCUACGAGAGCCGCCGUCGCCGCCCGGAGCGCCCCACACGGCUACCGCAUCAGCCACCGCCGCGCAGCGUCCCCGCCCCGCCCGGCCAGCCGCGGGGAGGAGGGCUCGGCCGCCGGGAAGAAGGACGUCGAUUGGUGCCGCUGAGUGUCACUUGAGGAAGACCCCGCGGAUAUUGGCAUUUCUCUCGGGCCUGUCAUUCUACAGCGCCCAGUGAGAGCCUGGGGUGGGACGCGUCCGCCAGACCCACCUUUGAUUGGUUCAGAUAAAGGCCAAUCAGACUUUUGGGGAAGCUCAUUGGUGCUUUCCUGAAGUUUCCAGCGCUCAGGGAGGACGGGAGAAUGCGGAAUGCCCGGCCAAUCUGAUCGCCGAUUGGCUGCUGUUUCCGCCAUUCAUUUCAGUUUAUGCGCCUGUCACUGCCACGUCACCCCCUCCCAUCGCUCUUCUCAUCAUCCUUUUCCGCCCUCAUGGAUUGGUGGUUGGUAUCAGCUGCUCCACCUUUUCUACCAUUUACUGAACGAGUUGAGGAAAAAGGGAAGGAGUCUCGUCUUUACAUCCUUAUUUUCUUUUUUUAUUGGUUGGCACCUAUGCCACUCACGUGGUGGAGAGGCGGGGCAAUAGUUGGAGAUGAUUGGUUCUGAGAAUUGGCUGUGAAAGCGGCAUUGCUGACCAGUGAGAGAGACCUAAUGAGGAGCAGGCCGGGGCAACCAAUGAAAUCGGAGAAGAGCGCUUGGGGGCGUGUCCGCCUGCUUUCAGCCUUUGGCAAGUUGGUGGGAGCUAAAAUCAGUCAUCUUCCUGCGAAGGCAUGAGGAGGAAAAGAGAGGAAGUAACUGAGCGAUAAUAUGCUGUAUGAGCCUCCUGCUCUGCUGCCCAUUACCUGCGUCACCUCCACAAGCUACUGAACCUCAAGGAACCCAUCUCCUCAUCAGGAAAAAAAAUAAGCUUUAUCAGGGUCUGAACUCUGUAGGUCUUCACCACGGCUCAGGAGGAUGAGGAGCAGUGACAGGCCAAACUACGAGAAAAGACAGAGGGAAUCAAACUCAACACUGUGUCUAAACCUCCUCCACCACUGUUGAAGGGAUCCUGGCAUCAGAUGGGGAACAGCUCUAAAUCAAAAUAACCUCACUACUGUGCUUUUCUGUAAAACCAGGUAAAGAUCAGACAAGCAUGAGUU
rnacentral:lncRNA from 1 species